rnacentral:lncRNA from 1 species
UCCCCCUUUGACAAUGAAUUUCAUCAAAACCACAAAUAAAAAGAGUUCCUCCGUUUUUAAAAAUGUUUCUUUAAACUAGAAGGGAUUUUUUUUUUUGCUUAGUUUGUCAUAUUUCAUUUUUUUUAAUGAGCAUUAUGAAACAUCAUGAACAUGAUAAUUGUGCAUCCAAGUCAUGUAAAAAGUAGUUGUACUCGAGAUGUAUAUAAGUAUGAUGUAAUAUACACAUGACUAAAAAUCAAGUGUUGUUACGAUUUAUUGCAAGACAUGGUCUCCCCCUAUCAACUACAUCAAUACUUGAAUACAAAAUAACUUGCAACACAUUACAUUAAAUAGAGCACUUUAUAAAAGCAUAAUAUUUAUUUUCAUUGAAUUUAUAUGCCAAGUCAAUUCAACCUUGUCAAGCCUAUAUUUAAAACACCAUGCCAAGUCUAUGUCCAAAGUGCAAU